rnacentral:rRNA from 1 species
UACGUAGGGCGCAAGCGUUGUCCGGAAUUAUUGGGCGUAAAGAGCUCGUAGGUGGCGUGUCGCGUCUGCCGUGAAAACCCAUGGCUUAACUGUGGGUCUGCGGUGGAUACGGGCAGGCUGGAGGCUGGUAGGGGCAAGCGGAAUUCCUGGUGUAGCGGUGAAAUGCGCAGAUAUCAGGAGGAACACCGGUGGCGAAGGCGGCUUGCUGGGCCAGUUCUGACGCUGAGGAGCGAAAGCGUGGGGAGCGAACAGG